AUCUGGGGGGAUUUUGGUGCAAUUUCAGGGUCCCUGAUAGGAUUUCAGGGAUCCUGCGACUGGAUUUUGGAGUAAUUUUGUGGUAAUUUCAGGGAUUUGGGGGCAAUUUCGGGGUCCCUGACGGGACUUUGGGAUAUUUUGGUGCAAUUUUUGGGGUGAUUUGGGGUAAUUUUGGGGUCCCUGACAGGACUUUGGGAUUGAUUUGGGGUAAUUUCGGGGUCCCUGAUGGAAUUUUGGGGUAUUUUGAGGUAAUUUUGGGGUCCCUGAUGGGAUUUCAGGGUAUUUCGGUGCAACUUUUGGGGUGAUUUGGGGUAAUUUCAGGGUCUGUUAUGGUAUUUGGAUGGAAUUUUGGGGUAUUUUGGAUUGUUUUGGUUUGAACAGACAGGUGUGUGCUGAGGAAGGCAGGAGACCCCUGAAAUGGAAAAUGUGAACUGUCUCCCUCUGCAUUGUUGUAAAUUUGAAAUGAAAAGGCUCUCAGGCAAAGAUAUGGGAACAGGACUAACAGUUCUUUGCUGGGGACUGGUUCCAUGACAAAGGUCACGUCGGCGUGCUCUGGAUCGCUGAGAACUGGAAAAGGACCAGACCCAGCUAAUCUGAGGCCCCGCACUGUGAAGACGCCGUGGCCUUGAGCACGGCUGUGUUAUGAUACCAAGGUGCUGUAGCCGAGAGCAGAGCCUGAGAAAAGAGAGAUAAGAUGUGUCCUGGAGGGAGGAUUGGCUGUGGAAGAGAGAAAGAAAACUGCCCCAUGAACAGCAGAUAACUGCCCCGUCAGGUCCCACCCACACCUGGGCACCUGGAUCCCUCACACCUGGAUCCCUCACACAUGAGUUCCAGCCUGCCCAGAUGUUCAGGUUCCUGCACACCUGGAUCACCAGUUCCCAGCACACCUGGGCACCUGCACCCUGCCCAGACACACUUGGAUCCCUCCCAGGACACCUGGAUCCCCCAAAGACACCUGGACCCACAGAGGAACACCUGGAACUGCCCCCAGGACACCUGAAACUGUCCCAGGAACACCUGGAGGCCUCCUGAGCACACCUGGAUCCCCCUAAAGAGUACCUGGGACACCCCAAAAACACCUGGAAAUGCCUCUGGGACACAUGAAUCUCUCUCAAGGACACCUGGACCCACCCAAACUCACCUGGACCCACUCAGGAACACCUCGAUGCCCCCAAAAAACCACCUGGGACCCCCCAAAUCCACCUGAGACCCCCAAAAUCCCACCUGGACCCUCCCCAUGAUGUCACAGGUGUGGCCAUGCCCCCCAUCUCCCCCGGGUUUCUAUUUUUGGGUCGAUUUGUGGUGAUUUUUGGUUUCCAUCGAUAAAAAUCCAACCGGG